rnacentral:rRNA from 1 species
UACGUGAGGUCCGAGCGUUGUUCCGGAAUUAUUGGGCGUAAAGGGGCUCGAUAGGCGGUUCGUCACUGUCGGGAGUGAAAACUCGGGGCUUAAACCCCGAGGCCUGCCUUCCGGAUACGGGCAGACUAGAGGUAGGCAGGGGAGAGCGGAAACUCCGUGGGAUGUAGGCAGGUUGGAAUGCGCAGGAUAAUCAGGAAGAACACCGGUGGCGAAGGCGGACUCUCUGGG